GUCCGUUUUGAGCUAGAAUUAAAAUUGAAUCGGUGAUUUCAAUCUUAAAAAUUAGAAAGUUAAGAUUGCACUGAAGGGUUUUUUUGAGUUUUAGUUUGAUUUUAGUUUAAUUUUAAUUCAGUUACAGUUUGAAUUUGAUUUGGUUUGGCAAAAUCUGAUAUUUAAAAUUUUUGUAAUUUAUAUAUUUUUUUUAAUUUUUAAAAGUGAAAAAUCCUGUUUUGACCUAGUACAAUUCAAAAAAUUUUUAAUCAAAUACGAAUUUAACCGAUCUUGGUGCAAGUGUAAGAUAAGAGUAUUGAUUUUUAUAUUUUAUAGCAAUCAUUGAAAAGCCUGAUGGAAAUUGACCACAAUAACAAAAAUGCAAUUUACAUUUAUGUGCCAAAUUAUGCUCAAGAAUAGCUAUAUCAUAAAUGCAAUUGUAGGAAUUGUGCCAAUACUUCAGUGGUCGAUUUUCAUAGUGCAAUAGGUAUUGGUUGAAAUCCUUUUCAAAUGAGGAAAAAAUAAAAAUUUUGAUUGUAGCUGGCUAGCAACAGAAACAAUUUUGUGUAUUCUUUUGGCUUGGUCUAAUUCAUUUUGUUUAUGAUUUUGCCUGUUAAGCAAUAGUAUUUGAAUCCUUAAACAAUACAUAUAGAGAAAAGGAAAAAAAUGCUUCUGGUAGAUUUCAUAUAUGGAACGCUGAAAUACAUUUAUGUGUACUUACGCAUAUUGUGAUGGUGGAUUGGCAUCAGGAUGCAAUUCUCUUAAUAAAAUAACCGGAUCUUUUCCUAGUUUGGUCACUGAUUAGUGCUGGAUUAAUUAUUUGUAAACAGCCAAAUCUGUCAUCCAGUCGG
rnacentral:misc_RNA from 1 species